UAAUACAGAGGGUGCGAGCGUUAAUCGGAAUUACUGGGCGUAAAGCGCACGUAGUCGGCUUUGCAAGUCGGUUGUGAAAUCCCCGGGCUCAACCUGGGAACUGCAUCCGAGACUGCAUUGCUAGAGUAUGGGAGAGGAAAGCGGAAUUUCUGGUGUAGCAGUGAAAUGCGUAGAUAUCAGAAGGAACAUCAGUGGCGAAGGCGGCUUUCUGGACCAAUACUGACGAUCAGGUGCGAAAGCGUGGGGAGCAAACAGGAUUAGAUACCCUGGUAGUCCACGCCCUAAACGAUGACAACUGGAUGUCGGGAGGGUUUGCCUUCCGGUGUCGUAGCUAACGCGUUAAGUUGUCCGCCUGGGAAGUACGGCCGCAAGGUUG
rnacentral:rRNA from 1 species